AAGCUUAUCCACUUGGAUCCACGUGACGCGUUCGUCCAACCAGCUGCUGGUUUUCACUUUUUGGGCGACAAUACAGAUUAGUGCUGCUUGUUGUUAUGGAGACAUAGUAAGUCUUGCGCAUGCGCAGAACCUCUGCUCGGGUUGACGUCU